rnacentral:rRNA from 1 species
UGCCUACGGGGCGCAGCAGUGAGGAAUAUUGGUCAAUGGACGCAAGUCUGAACCAGCCAUGCCGCGUGCAGGAUGACGGCUCUAUGAGUUGUAAACUGCUUUUGUACGAGGGUAAACCCCGAUACGUGUAUCGGGUUGAAAGUAUCGUACGAAUAAGGAUCGGCUAACUCCGUGCCAGCAGCCGCGGUAAUACGGAGGAUCCGAGCGUUAUCCGGAUUUAUUGGGUUUAAAGGGUGCGUAGGCGGUUUGAUAAGUUAGAUGUGAAAUUCCGGGGCUCAACCCCGGACCUGCAUUUGAAACUGUUG